rnacentral:rRNA from 1 species
UGAGGAAUAUUGGUCAAUGGGCGAGAGCCUGAACCAGCCAAGUAGCGUGCAGGAUGACGGCCCUAUGGGUUGUAAACUGCUUUUAUGUGGGGAUAAAGUGCGUGACGUGUCAUGCAUUGCAGGUACCACAUGAAUAAGGACCGGCUAAUUCCGUGCCAGCAGCCGCGGUAAUACGGAAGGUCCGGGCGUUAUCCGGAUUUAUUGGGUUUAAAGGGAGCGUAGGCUGUCUAUUAAGCGUGUUGGGAAAUAUACCGGCUCAACCGGUGGCUUGCAGCGCGAACUGGUCGACUUGAGUAUGCAGGAAGUAGGCGGAAUUCAUGGUGUAGCGGUGAAAUGCUUAGAUAUCAUGACGAACUCCGAUUGCGCAGGCAGCUUACUGUAGCAUAACUGACGCUGAUGCUCGAAAGUGCGGGUAUCAAACAGG